AACGAACGCUGGCGGCAGGCUUAACACAUGCAAGUCGAACGGUUGUAGCAAUACAGCAGUGGCAGACGGGUGAGUAACACGUGGGAACCUUCCUAGGGGUACGGAACAACUCAGGGAAACUUGAGCUAAUACCGUAUACGUCCGUGAGGAGAAAGAUUUAUCGCCCUUAGACGGGCCCGCGUCGGAUUAGCUAGUUGGUGGGGUAACGGCCUACCAAGGCGACGAUCCGUAGCUGAUCUUAGAGGAUGAUCAGCCACACUGGGACUGAGACACGGCCCAGACUCCUACGGGAGGCAGCAGUGGGGAAUCUUGGACAAUGGGCGCAAGCCUGAUCCAGCCAUGCCGCGUGAGUGAAGAAGGUCUUCGGAUUGUAAAGCUCUUUUACCAGGGACGAUAAUGACGGUACCUGGAGAAUAAGCCCCGGCAAACUUCGUGCCAGCAGCCGCGGUAAGGCGUAUGUGU
rnacentral:rRNA from 1 species